AGUAGGAGGGCGACAUUCUGUGACGGUAUAAAAAUAGGGCGUCUUGCGUUUUCUAAGCAAAGCGUCACAAACAGCCGUAAAAGCAACUCAGUAGAAGUUAUUUAUUCUUCGUUGUACAGUAUUUUGUAUUGCAUAAAUAUCUGAAUAUUUGGAAAAUGCAGAUUUUUGUGAAAACCCUGACUGGCAAGACCAUCACACUUGAGGUUGAACCAUCAGACACCAUUGAGAACGUGAAAG